rnacentral:rRNA from 1 species
AUACGUAGGUGACAAGCGUUAUCCGGAUUUACUGGGCGUAAAGGGCGUGUAGGCGGUCUUGCAAGUCAGAAGUGAAAUUCCUGAGCUCAACUCGGGCGCUGCUUCUGAAACUGCAGGACUUGAGUGCUGGAGGGGAUAGCGGAAUUCCUAGUGGAGCGGUAAAAUGCGCAGAUAUUAGGAAGAACACCGGUGGCGAAGGCGGCGAUCUGGACAGAAACUGACGCGGAGGCGCGAAAGCGUGGGGAGCAAACAGGAUUAGAUCCCCUGGUAGUCCACGCCGUAAACGAUGAAUACUUGGUGUAGGGGGUAUCGACUCCCUCUGUGCCGCAGUUAACACAAUAAGUAAUCCACCUGGGGUGUACGGCCGCAAGGUUGAAACUCAAAGGAAUUGACGGGG